GAAGUAUAGGGGCUGACGCCUGCCCAGUGCUGGAAGGUUAAAAGGAGGACUUAGCUUCGGCGAAGGUCUUAAUUGAAGCCCCAGUGAACGGCGGCCGUAACUAUAACGGUCCUAAGGUAGCGAAAUUCCUUGUCGGGUAAGUUCCGACCCGCAUGAAAGGCGUAAUGAUUUGGGCGCUGUCUCAACAAUAGACUCGGUGAAAUUUAAAUUCCAGUGAAGAUGCUGGGUACCCGCGACAGGACGGAAAGACCCCGUGGAGCUUUACUGUAGCUUGAUAUUGAAUGUUUGUGCUGCAUGUGCAGGAUAGGUAGGAGACUUUGAAGUCGGAACGCUAGUUUCGAUUGAGUCACCCUUGAGAUACUACCUCUGUUGUAUGAACGUUCUAACUCUGAUCAGUUAUCCUGAUCGAAGACAGUGUCUGGCAGGCAGUUUGACUGGGGCGGUCGCCUCCUAAAAGAUAACGGAGGCGCUCAAAGGUUUGCUCAGAAUGGUUGGAAAUCAUUCGUAGCGUGUAAAGGCAUAAGCAAGCUUGACUGUGAGACUGACAAGUCGAGCAGGUACGAAAGUAGGACUUAGUGAUCCGGUGGUUCCGUAUGGAAGGGCCAUCGCUCAACGGACAAAAGCUACCCCGGGGAUAACAGGCUCAUCUCCCCCAAGAGUCCACAUCGACGGGGAGGUUUGGCACCUCGAUGUCGGCUCAUCGCAUCCUGGGGCUGUAGUCGGUCCCAAGGGUUGGGCUGUUCGCCCAUUAAAGCGGUACGCGAGCUGGGUUCAGAACGUCGUGAGACAGUUCGGUCCCUAUCCGUCGUGGGCGCAGGAAAUUUGAGAGGAUCUGUCCUUAGUACGAGAGGACCGGGAUGGACAUACCUCUGGUGUACCAGUUGUUCUGCCAAGAGCACCGCUGGGUAGCUACGUAUGGAUUAGAUAAUCGCUGAAAGCAUCUAAGUGAGAAACUAACCUCGAGAUGAGAUUUCCCAUUCGUCAGAAGUAAGACCCCUGAGAGACGAUCAGGUAGAUAGGCUAGAAGUGGAAGUGUAGUGAUGCAUGGAGCGGACUAGUACUAAUAGGUCGAGGACUUAACCAAG
rnacentral:rRNA from 1 species